AUUGAACGCUGGCGGCAGGCCUAACACAUGCAAGUCGAGCGGAUGAAGGGAGCUUGCUCCUGGAUUCAGCGGCGGACGGGCGAGUAAUGCCUAGGAAUCUGCCUGGUAGUGGGGGAUAACGUCCGGAAACGGGCGCUAAUACCGCAUACGUCCUGAGGGAGAAAGUGGGGGAUCUUCGGACCUCACGCUAUCAGAUGAGCCUAGGUCGGAUUAGCUAGUUGGUGGGGUAAAGGCCUACCAAGGCGACGAUCCGUAACUGGUCUGAGAGAAUGAUCGGUCACACUGGAACUGGGACACGGUCCAGACUCCUACGGGAGGCAGCAGUGGGGAAUAUUGGACAAUGGGCGAAAGCCUGAUCCAGCCAUGCCGCGUGUGUGAAGAAGGUCUUCGGAUUGUAAAGCACUUUAAGUUGGGAGGAAGGGCAGUAAGUUAAUACCUUGCUGUUUUGACGUUACCAACAGAAUAAGCACCGGCUAACUUCGUG
rnacentral:rRNA from 1 species